CAGUCGCCACGGUAAUACGGAGGGUGCAAGCGUUAAUCUGAAUUACUGGGCGUAAAGCGCACGCAGGCGGUCUGUCAAGUCGGAUGUGAAAUCCCCGGGCUCAACCUGGGAACUGCAUUCGAAACUGGCAGGCUAGAGUCUUGUAGAGGGGGGUAGAAUUCCAGGUGUAGCGGUGAAAUGCGUAGAGAUCUGGAGGAAUACCGGUGGCGAAGGCGGCCCCCUGGACAAAGACUGACGCUCAGGUGCGAAAGCGUGGGGAGCAAACAGGAUUAGAUACCCCUGUAGUCCCUGUCUCUUAUAC
rnacentral:rRNA from 1 species